CUUCUUUUUCCUUGGGACUUUCAUGAUCUUUCUUUUUCCCUGUUGGCUUCCCCAUAAUUGGUCACUCAAAAACCAGUAAAAAAGCAAAAAAUAAUCUGAGAGUGCACAUUCCAGCUAAAAGUUUCUUGGCAGGGAAUAGUUCAUGCAAAAUUGCCGCAUCAUUGUGUCAUUAUGAUGAAAAUGAUGAUGAUGAUUGUGUGAGUAUUUCUGGUCUGAGCAUGCAUGUUGCUGCCAAGAGUGCUUCAUCAAGUGUCUUCUCUAGUCCAGUCACUAGUCCACAUGGAUCAAACAACAAUGCACAACAUUUCUUUGAUCAUCACACCAUCAAUAAUUUCCUUCAACAAUUCAAUGACAAUGAUUUGAAUUUGGAUCAUCAUCAUCAUCACCACCACCUACCACAAGCUAAUAAUAACAAAAAUAAUGUUCAUUUUUGCCCUGCUAGCUUAAGUACUGCUUAUUCUUCUAAUCCCAAAAAUAACCAUGUUGAUGCACAUCCCUUGCCACUUCCUCCUAGAGUUUCAUCAUCAAUGAAAGGCCAAUGGCAGAAGGGGAAGCUAAUUGGUCGCAGCACCUUUGGAAGUGUUUAUCAUGCAACCAACCUAGAAACUGGAGCUUCUUGUGCAAUGAAGAAAGUGGAUAUAAUUCCUGAUGAUCCUACAUCUGCUGAGUGCAUAAAGCAACUAGAACAGGAAAUCAAAAUCCUUCAUCAACUACACCACCCAAAUAUAGUGCAGUAUUAUGGAAGUGAAAUAGGAGCAUUGUGGAGUUAUGACAGAAUCUGUAGUUCGAAAUUUCACAAGAAACAUUCUAUCUGGAUUGGCCUACUUACAUAGCACCAAGACUAUCCACAGGGAUAUCAAAGGUGCAAACUUGCUUGUUAAUGAAUCUGGCAUUGUCAAGCUUGCAGAUUUUGGGAUGGCCAAAAUUCUUUCAGGGAAUUCAUAUGAACUUUCUUUGAAGGGAAGUCCUUAUUGGAUGGCUCCUGAGGUGAUGAAAGCUGCCAUUAAGAAUGAAUCAAAUCCUGAUGUAUGGAGCUUAGGCUGCACCAUCAUUGAAAUGUUGUCAAGGAAAGCCUCCUUGGAGUGACCUUGAAAGGCCAUCAGCAAUGUUCAAGGUACUACAGAGCACACCACCAAUACCAGAGAGUUUAUCAACAGUGGGAAUGGAUUUCCUGCAGCAAUGUUUCAGAAGGGACCCUGCUGAUAGACCUUCGGCAGCAAUGCUUCCUAACCAUCCCUUUCUCCACAAUUUUCAUGAUCGAGAUAAUCCUCUAAUUCAUCCUCAUUUAAAUUUGUGUCACAAAGGAGACCAAGGAGAUACUUCGUCUAGUCCCAAAGAUAAUACCAAAAAUAGACAUGAUGUAUUGCCAGCCUCCAUGAGCACAAAGAUUUUCAACAAAACUCAUGAUAGAAGCUUAGUGUCUAUUAAGCUAGUUUGUAAAACUGUUUCAAAAGAGAAGCAAUGCAAUGAUUUUGCAAAUAGGUUCAGGGAAGUUUGUUACUUAUUAUUUUGUUUCCCUUACAAGUGAUUUACAGCAUAUCAUUGUUGUUAAGUUAAUGUACCUGAAAAUAUGUUAAGCCAGUUUGUUUCUGUAAAUAAGUAUCAAGUCACAGAAUUAGUUUGUAGGCAACUGCAUCAAACAUUGGUACAUUAAAAUGCCUUAUUUUCACAAAUAUACUAUAUUAACAUUGUCACACAAGAAAUGUUAGUUGAGCACCCAUUUUACAUUACCACUACCCAUAUCUUCAAAGUAGGUAAUACAGAUUACAAAGAUUUUGAAUAUGUUAAUGCAAGUUUGAAGGCAUUGUAGAUUGCUGUAGGAUUCUUUGUCUUAGUGUUCAAUAAAACUGUUUUUAAUUUUGUACCUGGUAAUGUCGGUUUUGAUGUGAUGACAAAUUUUUGAGCACUCACUAUUCAACUAUAAGCUGUUGCUUGAAUUUAUUAAAAAGGUAUCAUACUUUUUGUAAGAAAAAAAUGUGUAUACAUCUUAGUAAUUGUGCUUAUUUUGAUUGAUCUUGAAUUAUAUAUAGGCUAUCAUCAAGCCUCAGUAUGUUGACCACAUUCCAAAAGCAGUGCAAGGAAAUGUGGGGCAGGUGCUUGAUCAGAAAGAUGAGAGAGAUAAGAAGGCAGAGCUUUGUGCUGAUCUAGAGCUUAACCAAGUUAUAGAUAGUAAUGUUGGUGAUCUUCCUGGUGGAGAGCUCUAAAGGUUUGCCAUUGCAGUUGUUGCCAUCCAAAAUGCAGAGAUAUAUAUGUUUGAUGAACCCUCUAGUUACCUUGAUGUGAACCAGAGACUAAAAUCUUGUUUAGGUUUUUAGGAUUCCUUUCUUGUUAUAAAAAGCCAAGGCCCUCAAGAUACCAAUUUAACAUGUCUGGAGGAAUUUAAUAUGGAAUAGAUUUACACUGUUUGGGUAUGCUAAAUUUAUCGUCAUAGUUGAAGAAUGAUAAGACAUUCUAACUUCUACCUACUUUGUAACUUUUUGAUUUGUCAAGGGAAAUUCUGCAAUUCCUUAUAAACUGAAUUCAAUUCUCUUGAAUACAUCACUAAAUAAAGCAGGUGAUACAGCUGAUAUUGUAUAGUGGAACAAAAUU